rnacentral:rRNA from 1 species
GACGAACGCUGGCGGCGUGCUUAACACAUGCAAGUCGAACGGAAAGGCCCUGCUUUUGUGGGGUGCUCGAGUGGCGAACGUGUGAGUAACACGUGAUUAACCUGCCCUUGACUUUGGGAUAACUUCAGGAAACUGGGGCUAAUACCUGAUAGGAGCUCCUGCUGCAUGGUGGGGGUUGGAAAGUUUCGGCGGUUGGGGAUGGACUCGCGGCUUAUCAGCUUGUUGGUGGGGUAGUGGCUUACCAAGGCUUUGACGGGUAGCCGGCCUGAGAGGGUGACCGGCCACAUUGGGACUGAGAUACGGCCCAGACUCCUAAGGGAGGCAGAAGGGGGGAAUAUUGCACAAUGGGCGGAAGCCUGAGGCAGCAACGCCGAGUGCGGGAUGACGGCCUUCGGGUUGUAAACCGCUUUCGCCUGUGACGAAGCGUGAGUGACGGUAAUGGGUAAAGAAGCACCGGCUAACUACGUG